UGCAUUUUAAAUAGCAGUUUAACUGGGAUUGUUCUUGUGGAAAUUCAUUUCUCUAUCAAGCACACGUUUCUUUGCUAGCCAUCUCAGUCCUAACAUGCAUUUCUUUGCUGUGCAGAGAAGGGAAAACUAAUGUUUUGCUCAGAUUGACUGUACUUCAAGAUCAGAGAGGAAUGAAAACGGAACUUGAACACUCAUGAGACUCUCUCCUUGCUUUGCACCAACAGAUGCUGGUUUGUUAUUAUCCUGGUGGGAGCCCUGAGCUGUCCAGCACCAAAU
rnacentral:lncRNA from 1 species